rnacentral:rRNA from 1 species
UACGUAGGCAGCAAGCGUUGUUCGGAAUUACUGGGCGUAAAGAGUGUGUAGGCGGUGCUCCAAGUCUGGUGUGAAAUCCCCCGGCUUAACUGGGAGGGUGCAUUAGAAACUGGAAUGCUAGAGGAUGGGAGAGGUAAGCGGAAUUCCUGGUGUAGCGGUGAAAUGCGUAGAUAUCAGGAGGAACACCUGUGGUGUAGACAGCUUACUGGACCAUUUCUGACGCUGAGACACGAAAGCGUGGGUAGCAAACAGG